CACACAUGCAAGUCGAACGGGCUCUUCGGAGCUAGUGGCGGACGGGUGAGUAACGCGUGAGAAUCUGCCUACAGGACGGGGACAACAGUUGGAAACGACUGCUAAUACCCGAUGUGCCGAGAGGUGAAACAUUUAUGGCCUGUAGAUGAGCUCGCGUCUGAUUAGCUAGUUGGUGGGGUAAGGGCCUACCAAGGCGACGAUCAGUAGCUGGUCUGAGAGGAUGAUCAGCCACACUGGGACUGAGACACGGCCCAGACUCCUACGGGAGGCAGCAGUGGGGAAUUUUCCGCAAUGGGCGCAAGCCUGACGGAGCAACGCCGCGUGGGGGAGGAAGGUUUUUGGACUGUAAACCCCUUUUCUCAGGGAAGAAGAAAGUGACGGUACCUGAGGAAUAAGCCUCGGCUAAUUCCGUGCCAGCAGCCGCGGUAAUACGGGAGAGGCAAGCGUUAUCCGGAAUUAUUGGGCGUAAAGCGUCCGCAGGCGGUUAAUCAAGUCUGUUGUCAAAGCGUGGGGCUCAACCUCAUACAGGCAAUGGAAACUGAUUGACUAGAGUAUGGUAGGGGUAGCGGGAAUUCCAGGUGUAGCGGUGAAAUGCGUAGAUAUCUGGAAGAACACCAGCGGCGAAAGCGCGCUACUGGGCCAUAACUGACGCUCAUGGACGAAAGCUAGGGGAGCGAAAGGGAUUAGAUACCCCUGUAGUCCUAGCCGUAAACGAUGAACACUAGGUGUUGCGUGAAUCGACCCGCGCAGUGCCGUAGCCAACGCGUUAAGUGUUCCGCCUGGGGAGUACGCACGCAAGUGUGAAACUCAAAGGAAUUGACGGGGGCCCGCACAAGCGGUGGAGUAUGUGGUUUAAUUCGAUGCAACGCGAAGAACCUUACCAGGGUUUGACAUCCCCCGAAUCUCUUGGAAACGAGAGAGUGCCUUCGGGAGCGGGGAGACAGGUGGUGCAUGGCUGUCGUCAGCUCGUGUCGUGAGAUGUUGGGUUAAGUCCCGCAACGAGCGCAACCCACGUUUUUAGUUGCCAUCAUUCAGUUGGGCACUCUAGAGAAACUGCCGGUGACAAACCGGAGGAAGGUGUGGACGACGUCAAGUCAUCAUGCCCCUUACAUCCUGGGCUACACACGUACUACAAUGCUCCGGACAGCGAGACGCGAAGCCGCGAGGUGAAGCAAAUCUCCCAAACCGGGGCUCAGUUCAGAUUGCAGGCUGCAACUCGCCUGCAUGAAGGCGGAAUCGCUAGUAAUCGCAGGUCAGCA
rnacentral:rRNA from 1 species